rnacentral:rRNA from 1 species
CGGCACGGGUGAGUAACACGUAUCCAACCUGCCGUCUACUCUUGGACAGCCUUCUGAAGGAAGAUUAAUACAAGAUGGCAUCAUGAGUUCACAUGUUCACAUGAUUAAAGGUAUUCCGGUAGACGAUGGGGAUGCGUUCCAUUAGAUAGUAGGCGGGGUAACGGCCCACCUAGUCUUCGAUGGAUAGGGGUUCUGAGAGGAAGGUCCCCCACAUUGGAACUGAGACACGGUCCAA